ensembl:antisense Hoxd3os1 homeobox D3, opposite strand 1
GGGUGGGGUGAGGUGAGAGACACGAAGGAGUCCCCAAUGCACUUUUGAGCCUAGCAGGACCCUACCUCGAGCCCCAAGGGACAUACUUUAGGGACGAGGAUGCAGAGAGCGAUCCCCAGGUUCUUGAAUAACGCGGGGAGCUGGGGAAGUGGCACCCAUUGCCCGAGGCGGUGGAGCGGGCAGCUCCUGCGCCAGCAGGGUGGCUCUUACCCGGAGGGUGCCGAACUGCGGGCGGUCGGCCCGGACUGUGGCUGGAAUCCAUCCGGCGCUGCCCGGCUGCGCUCACCAUCCUCGGCAGGUUUGGGCUCAUGUUGCUGGAGGGAUCGGGUAGGAAGCUCGGGACCAGGGUUGAAGCAGGCGGUCGGCUCCCUGCUGGAGUGUGAGAGGCGGCUGGUGGCUCGGCGCCCGGGGCUCCUUCCGGGCUCCCCGCCGGCUCUGGAAGCGGCCGCAAUCGCGACCGGGGGCGAGCUGCGGUGGAGUCGCGGCGGGAGCCCAGGCCGCUGCGGACCACGCGAUCCCGCAGCCGGCGACUAGAGCCCACCUCUGCAGAGACAAAGACACCCAAGGAUUCAGCAAACAUCCAAGAUAUGGAGGAGACACUAGAUGUGAAUUCUUAUGCAGUGAAUUAAACAAUAUGUUAUUACACAAGGAAAUGGGCAAGCUGGUGCUUAUUCCCUGGUCGAUACACAUAGAAGUGGGUAAAGAGAUUGUUCAAUUCUAAAACAUUCUAAAAAUUAAUCUCAAUUUGCCUCUGUAUCAUCUGCCCUCUAUCCAAAUAAAAGCAGAGCUUAUCCCA